AAUAGAAGCAUUUAAAAUUACCAUUCCCAGAAAGAAGCCAAAAUUUCUGCUAUAAAAACGCCAUAAUCUACUUCAAACUUUAUCAACACAGUUGACAACAUGAAAUUCAUCAUCGCAACAUUCCUGGCUAUCGCCCUGCUGGCAGCGCUGACCAGUGCCAACGAGGAGCUCUUUUAAAAACUUUUUUCAGUAAACUCACCUAAGAUUUCUCCUGUCCUUUAACAACCACAUCAAGGACAAAGAAAGGCGGCAAUCAUUUGGGGUUCGCAAUAUUACUUCUUCUACAACUGUGUUAAAUAUCAAAUCAAAAUUUGAUAUAAUAAAAAAGAACCUUACGAAUCCAAACGGAAAUUUCAAUUUAUUGAAAAUUAAUCACUUUUUUUUGAGAAUUUUUGAAACUUUUUAAGAAUUUUUGAAAAAAAAGAAAUAAUAGAAGGGGUUCAAAUAAAACCAAUUGUUUCUCUAAUAAACAAAUUCAUAGGAAUCAC